rnacentral:rRNA from 1 species
GCUUGUCUCAAAGUUAAGCCAUGCAUGUCUAAGUAUAAAUAGUAUACAGUGAAACUGCGAAUGGCUCAUUAAAACAGUUAUAGUUUAUUUGAUAAUUGAAAAUUACAUGGAUAACCGUGGUAAUUCUAGAGCUAAUACAUGCUAUCAAGCCCGACUUCUUGAAGGGUUGUAUUUAUUAGACUUAAGCCAAUAUUCCUUGUGUCUAUUGCGAUGAUUCAUAAUAACCGAACGAAUCGCAUGGCUUUGCCGGCGAUAUAUCUUCUAAGUUUCUGACCUAUCAGCUUUCGACGGUAAGGUAUUGGCUUACCGUGGCAAUGACGGGUAACGGAGAAUUAGGGUUCGAUUCCGGAGAGGGAGCCUGAGAAACGGCUACCACAUCUAAGGAAGGCAGCAGG